UUUUGGAUGUAAAGUUACCGGAGUACUAUGAAUAUAAAAAAUUUAAAACUCAAAGAACUUGGCGGUGUUUUAGACCACUCAGGGGAACCUGUCUCGUAAUCGAUAGUCCACGUUGUAUCUGACCUUUUCUUGUUUUUCAGUUUGUAUACCGUUGUCGUCAGGUAACUUUUUAGAAACUAAAAGUUAGCAAUAGAAAUAUAAUUUAAUACGUCAAAUCAAGGUGCAGCUAAUGGAAGGGGGAGGAUGGGUUACAAUUAUAAUUUAUAAUACGGAAGGAGGACUUGAAAGUAAAUUAAAUCUGGAUAAUUUGAAUUGGGCUCUGAAACGUGU
rnacentral:rRNA from 1 species